rnacentral:rRNA from 1 species
CACUUCUAAGGAAGGCAGCAGGCGCGCAAAUUACCCAAUCCUGACUCAGGGAGGUAGUGACAGGAAAUAACAAUAAACCGGCUUAUGCCGGUUUAAUUGGAAUGAGUACAAUUUAAACAUCUUAACGAGGAACAAUUGGAGGGCAAGUCUGGUGCCGGCAGCCGCGGUAAUUCCAGCUCCAAUAGCGUAUACUAAAGUUGUUGCAGUUAAAAAGCUCGUAGUUGGAUUUCUGUGGGGACGGAGCGGCCGGCCGCACAUCGCGGUUCGAGCUAGCGCUUUCCCUACAUCCUGCCGCGAACCGUGCUACCAUUAAUUUGGUGGCGCUGGGGAUCGGCUCGAUUACUUUGAGAAAAAUAGAGUGUUCAAAGCAGGCCACAUGCCUUGAAUAAGUUAGCAUGGAAUAAUAACUAAGGACUUCGGUUCUAUUUUGUUGGUGUUCGGGACUGAAGUAAUGAUUGAUAGGGACAGUUGGGGCGGUCUGUAUUCCAAAGCGAGGGGUGAAAUUCUUAGACCUUCGGAAGACAAACAGCUGCGAAAGCGUUCCGCAAGGAUGUUCCCUUUGAUCAAGAACGAAAGUUGGGGGAUCGAAGACGAUCAGAUACCGUCGUAGUCUCAACUAUAAACUAUACCAGCUAGGGAUCGGCCAACGUUAUUUUAUACCGACUUGGUCGGCACCUUAUGAGAAAUCAAAGCAUCUGGGUUCCGGGGGGAGUAUGGUCGCAAGGCUGAAACUUAAAGGAAUUGACGGAAGGGCACCACCAGCCGUGGAGCCUGUGGCUUAAUUUGACUCAACACGGGAAAACUUACCAGGUCC